GGAGAAUUCUAGGACACCUGGGAAUUACCCUGCGGUUCGCGUCUGCAAAGCUACACAGCGUUUCUCCAAAAUAUUAUUUUAACCUGUAGUGUCCUCGAGAGCAGACGGAUUCAAAAUAAGAAAUAAAAUUCCAGUGUCCUGGGCUCUGGCUUCUCUGCGGAUUCCUUCUGUCUGAAUGGCUGUUCUUAUUUUGUAGGACUGUGAUCUGAUGGAUUCUGAUACAGGCCCAGGUGCUUUGGAAAAGCUGACUCGCAAGCACAAGGCCAGCAUCUCUCCCGUCCGCUGCCCUCUUGGAAGCUGGCUUUCUGGACUUCCCCUCCACUUUCCAUUUGUGGCCCCGGCUCCUGGGUGCUCCCAGACUCCAGGUAGGAAGCUUCAGAUGCAGCUCCUUUCAGCUGGGGAGCUGCUUGUCUCCCCUGCAGGGUCACUCUUCCUGGGCAGGGCUCCAGCGCUGGACUGACGAGGGGCUGGGGCAGGUCCCAGGGAGCUGGAAACGAAAC
rnacentral:lncRNA from 1 species